GGAGAGAUGGCUCAGGGGUUAAGAGCUCUGACUGCUCUUCCAGAGGUCUUGAGUUCAAUUCCCAGCAACCACA
rnacentral:tRNA from 1 species